GUCUACGGCCACACCACCCUGAACAAGCCCUAUCCAGUCUGAUCUCAGAAACUAAGCAGAGUCCGGCCUGGUCAGUACUUGGAUGUGAGACCAACUAGGAAGACCAGGUGCUGUAGGCG
rnacentral:rRNA from 1 species